rnacentral:rRNA from 1 species
GACGAACGCUGGCGGCGUGCCUAAUACAUGCAAGUAGAACGCUGAAGGAGGAGCUUGCUUCUCUGGAUGAGUUGCGAACGGGUGAGUAACGCGUAGGUAACCUGCCUGGUAGCGGGGGAUAACUAUUGGAAACGAUAGCUAAUACCGCAUAAUAGCAGUUAUUGCAUGAUAACUGUUUGAAAGGUGCAAUUGCACCACUACCAGAUGGGCCUGCGUUGUAUUAGCUAGUUGGUGGGGUAACGGCUCACCAAGGCGACGAUACAUAGCCGACCUGAGAGGGUGAUCGGCCAAACUGGGACUGGGACACGGCCCAGACUCCUACGGGAGGCAGCAGUAGGGAAUCUUCGGCAAUGGACGGAAGUCUGACCGAGCAACGCCGCGUGAGGGAAGAAGGUUUUCGGAUCGUAAAGCUCUGUUGUAAGAGAAGAACGAGUGUGGGAGUGGAAAGUUCACACUGUGACGGUAUCUUACCAGAAAGGGACGGCUAACUACGUG